rnacentral:rRNA from 1 species
UACGGAGGGUGCGAGCGUUGUCCGGAAUCAUUGGGCGUAAAGGGCGCGUAGGUGGCGGGAUAAGCGUGCGGUGAAAGCUUGGGGCUCAACCCCGAGCCGGCCGUGCGAACUGUUCUGCUUGAGCACUGUAGAGGCAGGCGGAAUUCCGGGUGUAGCGGUGGAAUGCGUAGAGAUCCGGAAGAACACCGGUGGCGAAGGCGGCCUGCUGGGUUCUGGCUGACACUGAGGCGCGACAGCGUGGGGAGCAAACAGG